CGUGCCUAACACAUGCAAGUCGAGCGAGGAGAUUCCUUCGGGAUGAUCCUAGCGGCGGACGGGUGAGUAACACGUGGGCAACCUGCCUCAUAGAGAGGAAUAGCCUUCCGAAAGGGAGAUUAAUACCUCAUAACAUUGCAGUUUCGCAUGGAAUAGCAAAUUAAAGGAGUAAUCCGCUAUGAGAUGGGCCCGCGGCGCAUUAGCUAGUUGGUGAGGUAACGGCUCACCAAGGCGACGAUGCGUAGCCGACCUGAGAGGGUGAUCGGCCACAUUGGGACUGAGACACGGCCCAGACUCCUACGGGAGGCAGCAGUGGGGAAUAUUGCACAAUGGGGGAAACCCUGAUGCAAGCAACGCCGCGUGAGUGAUGACGGCCUUCGGGUUGUAAAGCUCUGUCUUCAGGGACGAUAAUGACGGUACCUGAGGAGGAAGCCACGGCUAACUACGUGCCAGCAGCCGC
rnacentral:rRNA from 1 species